rnacentral:tRNA from 1 species
AUUUAUAUAAUUUAAACAAGAAUAUUGUGUUGAAGUUACAAUAGUGGUGUACACCUAUAAAUA